rnacentral:rRNA from 1 species
UACGGAGGGUGCGAGCGUUGUCCGGAAUCACUGGGCGUAAAGGGCGCGUAGGCGGCCCGGCAAGUCAACGGUGAAAGCUUGGGGCUCAACCCCGAGUCGGCCGUCGAUACUUCCGGGCUGGAGCACUGUAGAGGCAGGUGGAAUUCCGGGUGUAGCGGUGGAAUGCGCAGAUAUCAGGAGGAACACCGGUGGCGAAGGCGGAUCUCUGGGCCAUUACUGACGCUGAGGAGCGAAAGCGUGGGGAGCGAACAGG